GUCAAGUGAAUAAGUGCAUCAGGCGGAUGCCUUGGCGAUGAUAGGCGACGAAGGACGUGUAAGCCUGCGAAAAGCGCGGGGGAGCUGGCAAUAAAGCUAUGAUUCCGCGAUGUCCGAAUGGGGAAACCCACUGCAUUCUGUGCAGUAUCCUAAGUUGAAUACAUAGGCUUAGAGAAGCGAACCCGGAGAACUGAACCAUCUAAGUACCCGGAGGAAAAGAAAUCAACCGAGAUUCCGCAAGUAGUGGCGAGCGAACGCGGAGGAGCCUGUACGUAAUAACUGUCGAGAUAGAAGAACAAGCUGGGAAGCUUGACCAUAGCGGGUGACAGUCCCGUAUUCGAAAUCUCAACAGCGGUACUAAGCGUACGAAAAGUAGGGCGGGACACGUGAAAUCCUGUCUGAAUAUGGGGGGACCAUCCUCCAAGGCUAAAUACUCAUCAUCGACCGAUAGUGAACCAGUACCGUGAGGGAAAGGCGAAAAGAACCCCGGGAGGGGAGUGAAACAGAACCUGAAACCUGAUGCAUACAAACAGUGGGAGCGCCCUAGUGGUGUGACUGCGUACCUUUUGUAUAAUGGGUCAACGACUUACAUUCAGUAGCGAGCUUAACCGGAUAGGGGAGGCGUAGGGAAACCGAGUCUUAAUAGGGCGAUGAGUUGCUGGGUGUAGACCCGAAACCGAGUGAUCUAUCCAUGGCCAGGUUGAAGGUGCCGUAACAGGUACUGGAGGACCGAACCCACGCAUGUUGCAAAAUGCGGGGAUGAGCUGUGGGUAGGGGUGAAAGGCUAAACAAACUCGGAGAUAGCUGGUUCUCCCCGAAAACUAUUUAGGUAGUGCCUCGAGCAAGACACUGAUGGGGGUAAAGCACUGUUAUGGCUAGGGGGUUAUUGCAACUUACCAACCCAUGGCAAACUCAGAAUACCAUCAAGUGGUUCCUCGGGAGACAGACAGCGGGUGCUAACGUCCGUUGUCAAGAGGGAAACAACCCAGACCGCCGGCUAAGGUCCCAAAUGAUAGAUUAAGUGGUAAACGAAGUGGGAAGGCACAGACAGCCAGGAUGUUGGCUUAGAAGCAGCCAUCAUUUAAAGAAAGCGUAAUAGCUCACUGGUCGAGUCGUCCUGCGCGGAAGAUGUAACGGGGCUCAAAUCUAUAACCGAAGCUGCGGAUGCCGGUUUACCGGCAUGGUAGGGGAGCGUUCUGUAGGCUGAUGAAGGUGCAUUGUAAAGUGUGCUGGAGGUAUCAGAAGUGCGAAUGUUGACAUGAGUAGCGAUAAAGCGGGUGAAAAGCCCGCUCGCCGAAAGCCCAAGGUUUCCUACGCAACGUUCAUCGGCGUAGGGUGAGUCGGCCCCUAAGGCGAGGCAGAAAUGCGUAGUCGAUGGGAAACAGGUUAAUAUUCCUGUACUUGAUUCAAAUGCGAUGUGGGGACGGAGAAGGUUAGGUUGGCAAGCUGUUGGAAUAGCUUGUUUAAGCCGGUAGGUGGAAGACUUAGGCAAAUCCGGGUUUUCUUAACACCGAGAAGUGAUGACGAGUGUCUACGGACACGAAGCAACCGAUACCACGCUUCCAGGAAAAGCCACUAAGCUUCAGUUUGAAUCGAACCGUACCGCAAACCGACACAGGUGGGCAGGAUGAGAAUUCUAAGGCGCUUGAGAGAACUCGGGAGAAGGAACUCGGCAAAUUGAUACCGUAACUUCGGGAGAAGGUAUGCCCUCUAAGGUUAAGGACUUGCUCCGUAAGCCCCGGAGGGUCGCAGAGAAUAGGUGGCUGCGACUGUUUAUUAAAAACACAGCACUCUGCCAACACGAAAGUGGACGUAUAGGGUGUGACGCCUGCCCGGUGCCGGAAGGUUAAUUGAAGAUGUGCAAGCAUCGGAUCGAAGCCCCGGUAAACGGCGGCCGUAACUAUAACGGUCCUAAGGUAGCGAAAUUCCUUGUCGGGUAAGUUCCGACCCGCACGAAUGGCGUAACGAUGGCCACACUGUCUCCUCCCGAGACUCAGCGAAGUUGAAGUGGUUGUGAAGAUGCAAUCUACCCGCUGCUAGACGGAAAGACCCCGUGAACCUUUACUGUAGCUUUGCAUUGGACUUUGAAGUCACUUGUGUAGGAUAGGUGGGAGGCUUGGAAGCAGAGACGCCAGUCUCUGUGGAGUCGUCCUUGAAAUACCACCCUGGUGUCUUUGAGGUUCUAACCCAGACCCGUCAUCCGGGUCGGGGACCGUGCAUGGUAGGCAGUUUGACUGGGGCGGUCUCCUCCCAAAGCGUAACGGAGGAGUUCGAAGGUUACCUAGGUCCGGUCGGAAAUCGGACUGAUAGUGCAAUGGCAAAAGGUAGCUUAACUGCGAGACCGACAAGUCGGGCAGGUGCGAAAGCAGGACAUAGUGAUCCGGUGGUUCUGUAUGGAAGGGCCAUCGCUCAACGGAUAAAAGGUACUCCGGGGAUAACAGGCUGAUUCCGCCCAAGAGUUCAUAUCGACGGCGGAGUUUGGCACCUCGAUGUCGGCUCAUCACAUCCUGGGGCUGUAGUCGGUCCCAAGGGUAUGGCUGUUCGCCAUUUAAAGUGGUACGUGAGCUGGGUUUAAAACGUCGUGAGACAGUUUGGUCUCUAUCUGCAGUGGGCGUUGGAAGUUUGACGGGGGCUGCUCCUAGUACGAGAGGACCGGAGUGGACGAACCUCUGGUGUACCGGUUGUAACGCCAGUUGCAUAGCCGGGUAGCUAAGUUCGGAAGAGAUAAGCGCUGAAAGCAUCUAAGCGCGAAACUCGCCUGAAGAUGAGACUUCCCUUGCGGUUUAACCGCACUAAAGGGUCGUUCGAGACCAGGACGUUGAUAGGUGGGGUGUGGAAGCGCGGUAACGCGUGAAGCUAACCCAUACUAAUUGCCCGUGAGGCUUGAC
rnacentral:rRNA from 1 species